UUGAAUAAACCUGGCUUGCUGAUGCUGGUCUCUCCGGAGGCAUGUGCUCGCUUGUCAUCUUUAUAUCUCCACCUGUGCACCUAUUGUAGAACUGGGAUGUGGGACUGCUGUGCAUCUUGCGAUGCCGUCUUUCCUUGUUUCUCUCCAGUGCUACGUUUUUCAUACACACCUAAAAUGUAAACGAAUGUUGAUCAUGGGUCUUUGUACCUAUAAAACAAAUAUA
rnacentral:misc_RNA from 1 species